AUUGAACGCUAGCGGCAUGCCUAACACAUGCAAGUCGGACGAGCGGCGGACGGGUGAGUAAUGUAUGGGGACGUGCCUAGUAGCGGGGGAUAACUACUGGAAAGGGUGGCUAAUACCGCAUACUAUCAGAUCAACCCAUAUGGGAUUAGCUUGUUGGUAAGGUAACGGCUUACCUAGGCGACGAUCCGUAGCUGGUCUGAGAGGAUGAUCAGCCACACUGGGACUGAGACACGGCCCAGACUCCUACGGGAGGCAGCAGUGGGGAAUAUUGCACAAUGGGCGCAAGCCUGAUGCAGCCAUGCCGCGUGUAUGAAGAAGGCCUUCGGGUUGUAAAGUACUUUCAGUCGGGAGGCGUUACCGACAGAAGAAGCACCGGCUAACUCCGUGCCAGCCGCCGCGGUAAUUC
rnacentral:rRNA from 1 species